AUGAACUUCUGAUUAGAAUGUUUCUCUAAUGGUCUAAUUUAUGGUUCUGUUGUGCAGGACUCUUGGUUUCUGUGGUGGUGAAUUUUUUAUCUGUCCUUGGUAGAGAUUUGUAGGUUGAACCGGCCAGGGGAAUUAUGCCAAAAACUCUCCACAUUCUGCUGGUACUACAAGAGCAAAGAGGCACCAAGCAAAUCCUCAUAAGAGGGAUGAUGAGAUCAUUGAGGAGAGCAAUGUUACCACCAACAUUACUCACGGGGACAUAGCCAGCAAGAGACCA